GACUAGUUAGCUUAGUUGGUAGUGCGUCUGCCUUGUAAGCGCUAGGCCGCGGGUUCGAUUCCCGCCCGGGGCG
rfam:Asian citrus Psyllid, Diaphorina citri - Florida Strain, whole genome shotgun sequence.